AGCCCGGUGCAUUUGCAGCCAGUGACUAUGAUAGUCCCUGGCAGCGAGCAUUUUUUAGUUCACUGUCUCAUGCUCCUGAUAAUUUUAUGACAGGGUGUCCUGCACAGCUGCAGGAAAGAAUGUGUGCCUGCAUUUCAUAAAUAAUCACUUAGUUAAACCACUACACGGGACAGAUGCGAUGUACGAAGAAAAGGAUCACAACAAAACCCACCCAGAAGAUGGAAAGGCUACAAAUCUCAGACAGGUGAUAACUGGAAAAAUAAUCACCCCAUGUCCCAAUCGGGGCCGGGAGGAUCCCAAGCCCACUGCUGCGUGCCAUGGCCCGACAUGAGCUUGGAGGAGUCUUCGGGCUAUGCAGAUGUUUCUGUGCUUGCAGAGCCUGUGGUGAUUGUAGCAAAAGAGAAUUGAGCUGCCACCAGGGAUGUAGUGUGUUUUCUCAACUUUACUUUCCCAAGCGUUAUGUUGCGUCUCCACCGCUGCAGAUGUAAUGCUUUUAGUCUCACAUUUAAAUGAACGAACCACGAAUCCGAGGCGGGAAAUGUCCAUAAGCACUUAGAUUUUGUUUGUGAUACCCAAAUGAUAAACUGUGUGCGUUUCAGGGUCGGCGACACUGUAUAUGAUUUAACACUGAGCAAAGAUGAUCUUGUACUAUAAGAGACAUUUAAAGACUUGCUCAUCUGAACCUGCCCUGGUACUAAUAAAGUAAAA